UCUACUCCUCUCUUCCACAAUUUCGUUAAUUUGUCGAUAUAAAACCACAAGGAAUAUAUAUAUAUAUAUAUAGAGAGAGAGAACAUGAGAAAUUCCUGCUGUCUUCUCUGAGGCUGCGUGGACCCAAGCCAGCAUAGGCUUCGAGAAGUCGAAUUAGGGCUACCGACCAAAACUCAACCACUCUCUCUCUCUCUUGGUUACAGCUUUGUCUACAAAUUGUUUGCAAUGUUGGUCAUUUCCUUCAGAACUUGUUAGUCUAUCUACGUCUAAUCUCAAGGGCCUUCUGCUCCGUUGGCGCAUAUUUGAUUGCUAGGCUAGGUAAAUUCUCUGUUUUGCCAUAUUUGCACACUCAGUUCUGGUUCUUGUUGUUUAAAGGAGGUUGUUGAUAAGACGAUUUGGCAGAAAGAAAUUUUGGAGAGUUUUCAAAUGAAAGGAAAAGAUGUAUGUAAAUUUAUUAUGAAGCUCUUGACUUAGAAGCAUAUGUUUGUUAACUUUCAACUUUGCACCCAAUCACAGUUCGAGUAUGGUGAUGGAUGUGGGAAGUAACCCAAGACAACAAUCACAUGGAGACCCAGAUUGCUUGCUUUUGAAACUCUAAUGCCAGCUCUACACUAUUUCAGAGGCAAUGUUGUUCUUUGAGGUAAACAGUUGAGCGUGUCGUUCAAGAACAAUUUCUUGAACAGAAACCUAUCUUCUUGUUUCCACUAUCGGUAUCACAUUGUCAUGAUGCAUUUUUUGUCUUCUUAGAUGCAAGAUGUCACUAGUUUCUCUCGCAGCUUCAUUAUGAAGAUGUUGUAUGUCGUUUCUUGAUGGAGAGUGUUGUUUGUCCUCUCCGUCGCAUUGUCGUUCAAGAAUAGCUUGUUGAAGGUUUCUUGCACUCCGAGAUCAAAGAAGAAAAGAGUUUGGGAAGAUAAGUAUCAAUGACUGGGGAAGAAAAUGCAGUGUCUUUCCGUAGAAGCUGGUUCGAAAGAUGUCUCCAUCUCUCGAGCAAAAAGAUGGAAAAUGUGUCAUAAACCUUCAACAAGCUAUUCUUGAACAACAAUGCCACGGGGACAAUGAACAACGUUCUCAAUCAAGAAAUGACAUACAGCGACAAAGGAGCCACCAGAGAAACUGGUGACGUCUUGCAUCAAAAAAUGCAUCAUGAUAGUGUGGUACAGGAAAUAAAAAGGCAAGUUUCUAUUCAAGAAAUUGUUCUUGAAAGACACGCUCAAUGUCUCCCACAAAAAACAACAUUGUCUCUGAAACAAUGCAGAGUCGGCUUUUGAGUUUCAAAAACAAACAAUUCGAGCCUCCAUGUGAAUGUUGUGUUAGGUUACUUCCCACAUUCAUCACCGAACUCGAACUGCGAUUGUGCAAAAAAUGUGAAGAAAUUCUCCUGUAUUUAAACAAUUUCAUUGUUAAGCGAUAUCCAUCAACAAGAAAUGGGGAUAUGAUGACAUUCAAAUAUAUGUACAAAUGUCAUCUAUGAAGAAAUUCUCCUGUAUUUUAAACAAUUUGAUUUCCAUCAACAAGAAAUGGGGAUAUGAUGGCAUUCAAAUAUAGAUACAAAUGUCCUCCAUGAAGAAAUUCUCCUGUAUUUCAAACAGUUUCAUCUCCGUCAACAAGAAAUGGGGCUAUGAUGGCAUUCAAAUAUAGGUGCAAAUGUCCUCCGCUUUGAGAUUCUAUAAAAUGAAUAGUAAAAUGUUUCUAAGAUUUCAAGGGCAUAGUCCUUCUACUCCCUCUCUUCAAAACCAAAAAUUAUUAAUUUUUAGGAACGCAACUAUCUUUAAAAUAUUGACUAUUUCAUGGGGCUUACGCAAAGGAUAAUCCAUAUCAAUCUUCGUUUCCUAAUUUCCCAAACCUACUAGGAUUCUACUAGUUGAUUUUGUUUCUAUGUACACAUGGGCAAAAAAACUUGCUCAUGCUUUUAAUUGGAGUUUCUCUUCUGCGUUGAUUUAUUUUGCU